UACGUAGGUGGCAAGCGUUGUCCGGAUUUACUGGGCGUAAAGAGCGCGCAGGCGGUCGUUCAAGUCGCGUGUGAAAGCCCCCGGCUCAACUGGGGAGGGUCACGCGAUACUGAUCGACUCGAAGGCAGGAGAGGGUAGUGGAAUUCCCGGUGUAGUGGUGAAAUGCGUAGAUAUCGGGGGGAACACCAGUGGCGAAGGCGACUACCUGGCCUGUUCUUGACGCUGAGGCGCGAAAGCUAGGGGAGCAAACGGG
rnacentral:rRNA from 1 species